GGGUUGUGAGGUUAAGCGACUAAGCGUACACGGUGGAUGCCCUGGCAGUCAGAGGCGAUGAAGGACGUGCUAAUCUGCGAUAAGCGCCGGUAAGGUGAUAUGAACCGUUAUAACCGGCGAUUUCCGAAUGGGGAAACCCAGUGUGACUCGUCACACUAUCAUUAACUGAAUCCAUAGGUUAAUGAGGCGAACCGGGGGAACUGAAACAUCUAAGUACCCCGAGGAAAAGAAAUCAACCGAGAUUCCCCAGUAGCGGCGAGCGAACGGGGAGGAGCCCAGAGCCUGAAUCAGCAUUUUGUUAGUGGAAGCGUCUGGAAAGGCGCGCGAUACAGGGUGACAGCCCGUACACAAAAGCGCAUGUGCUGUGAGCUCGAUGAGUAGGGCGGGACACGUGGUAUCCUGUCUGAAUAUGGGGGACCAUCCUCCAAGGCUAAAUACUCCUGACUGACCGAUAGUGAACCAGUACCGUGAGGGAAAGGCGAAAAGAACCCCGGCGAGGGGAGUGAAAAAGAACCUGAAACCGUGUACGUACAAGCAGUGGGAGCACCCUUCGGGGUGUGACUGCGUACCUUUGUAUAAUGGGUCAGCGACUUAUAUUCUGUAGCAAGGUUAACCGUAUAGGGAGCCGCAGGAAACCGAGUCUUAACCGGGCGUUAAGUUGCAGGGUAUAGACCCGAAACCCGGUGAUCUAGCCAUGGGCAGGUUGAAGGUUGGGUAACACUAACUGGAGGACCGAACCGACUAAUGUUGAAAAAUUAGCGGAUGACCUGUGGCUGGGGUGAAAGGCCAAUCAAACCGGGAGAUAGCUGGUUCUCCCCGAAAGCUAUUUAGGUAGCGCCUCGUGAAUUCAUCUCCGGGGUAGAGCACUGUUUCGGCUAGGGGCCAUCCCGGCUUACCAACCCGAUGCAAACUGCGAAUACCGGAGAAUGUUAUCACGGGAGACACACGGCGGGUGCUAACGUCCGUCGUGAAGAGGAAACAACCCAGACCGCCAGCUAAGGUCCCAAAGUCAUGGUUAAGUGGGAAACGAUGUGGGAAGGCCCAGACAGCGGAUGUUGGCUUAGAAGCAGCCAUCAUUUAAAGAAAGCGUAAUAGCUCACUGGUCGAGUCGGCCUGCGCGGAAGAUGUAACGGGGCUAAACCAUGCACCGAAGCUGCGGCAGCGACGCUUAUGCGUUGUUGGGUAGGGGAGCGUUCUGUAAGCCUGCGAAGGUGGCCUGUGAGGGUUGCUGGAGGUAUCAGAAGUGCGAAUGCUGACAUAAGUAACGAUAAAGCGGGUGAAAAGCCCGCUCGCCGGAAGACCAAGGGUUCCUGUCCAACGUUAAUCGGGGCAGGGUGAGUCGACCCUAAGGCGAGGCCGAAAGGCGUAGUCGAUGGGAAACGGGUUAAUAUUCCCGUACUUGGUGUUACUGCGAAGGGGGACGGAGAAGGCUAUGUUGGCCGGGCGACGGUUGUCCCGGUUUAAGCGUGUAGGUGUGUGUUCCAGGUAAAUCCGGUUCACUUUAACACUGAGGCGUGACGACGAGGCACUACGGUGCUGAAGCAACAAAUGCCCUGCUUCCAGGAAAAGCCUCUAAGCAUCAGGUAACAUCAAAUCGUACCCCAAACCGACACAGGUGGUCAGGUAGAGAAUACCAAGGCGCUUGAGAGAACUCGGGUGAAGGAACUAGGCAAAAUGGUGCCGUAACUUCGGGAGAAGGCACGCUGACACGUAGGUGAAGUGAUUUACUCAUGGAGCUGAAGUCAGUCGAAGAUACCAGCUGGCUGCAACUGUUUAUUAAAAACACAGCACUGUGCAAACACGAAAGUGGACGUAUACGGUGUGACGCCUGCCCGGUGCCGGAAGGUUAAUUGAUGGGGUCAGCGCAAGCGAAGCUCCUGAUCGAAGCCCCGGUAAACGGCGGCCGUAACUAUAACGGUCCUAAGGUAGCGAAAUUCCUUGUCGGGUAAGUUCCGACCUGCACGAAUGGCGUAAUGAUGGCGGCUGUCUCCACCCGAGACUCAGUGAAAUUGAACUCGCUGUGAAGAUGCAGUGUACCCGCGGCAAGACGGAAAGACCCCGUGAACCUUUACUAUAGCUUGACACUGAACAUUGAGCCUUGAUGUGUAGGAUAGGUGGGAGGCUUUGAAGUGUGGACGCCAGUCUGCAUGGAGCCGACCUUGAAAUACCACCCUUUAAUGUUUGAUGUUCUAACGUGGACCCGUUACCCGGGUUGCGGACAGUGUCUGGUGGGUAGUUUGACUGGGGCGGUCUCCUCCUAAAGAGUAACGGAGGAGCACGAAGGUUGGCUAAUCCGGUCGGACAUCAGGAGGUUAGUGCAAUGGCAUAAGCCAGCUUGACUGCGAGCGUGACGGCGCGAGCAGGUGCGAAAGCAGGUCAUAGUGAUCCGGUGGUUCUGAAUGGAAGGGCCAUCGCUCAACGGAUAAAAGGUACUCCGGGGAUAACAGGCUGAUACCGCCCAAGAGUUCAUAUCGACGGCGGUGUUUGGCACCUCGAUGUCGGCUCAUCACAUCCGGGCUGAAGUAGGUCCCAAGGGUAUGGCUGUUCGCCAUUUAAAGUGGUACGCGAGCUGGGUUUAGAACGUCGUGAGACAGUUCGGUCCCUAUCUGCCGUGGGCGCUGGAGAACUGAGGGGGCUGCUCCUAGUACGAGAGGACCGGAGUGGACGCAUCACUGGUGUUCGGGUUGUCAUGCCAAUGGCACUGCCCGGUAGCUAAAUGCGGAAGAGAUAAGUGCUGAAAGCAUCUAAGCACGAAACUUGCCCCGAGAUGAGUUCUCCCUGAGACUUUAGGUCUCCUGAAGGAACGUUGAAGACGACGACGUUGAUAGGCCGGGUGUGUAAGCGCAGCGAUGCGUUGAGCUAACCGGUACUAAUGAACCGUGAGGCUUAACCUUACAACGCCGAAG
rnacentral:rRNA from 1 species